UUUAUGGAGAGUUUGAUCCUGGCUCAGGAUGAACGCUGGCGGCGUGCCUAAUACAUGCAAGUCGAGCGAACGGACGAGAAGCUUGCUUCUCUGAUGUUAGCGGCGGACGGGUGAGUAACACGUGGAUAACCUACCUAUAAGACUGGGAUAACUUCGGGAAACCGGAGCUAAUACCGGAUAAUAUUUUGAACCGCAUGGUUCAAAAGUGAAAGACGGUCUUGCUGUCACUUAUAGAUGGAUCCGCGCUGCAUUAGCUAGUUGGUAAGGUAACGGCUUACCAAGGCAACGAUGCAUAGCCGACCUGAGAGGGUGAUCGGCCACACUGGAACUGAGACACGGUCCAGACUCCUACGGGAGGCAGCAGUAGGGAAUCUUCCGCAAUGGGCGAAAGCCUGACGGAGCAACGCCGCGUGAGUGAUGAAGGUCUUCGGAUCGUAAAACUCUGUUAUUAGGGAAGAACAUAUGUGUAAGUAACUGUGCACAUCUUGACGGUACCUAAUCAGAAAGCCACGGCUAACUACGUGCCAGCAGCCGCGGUAAUACGUAGGUGGCAAGCGUUAUCCGGAAUUAUUGGGCGUAAAGCGCGCGUAGGCGGUUUUUUAAGUCUGAUGUGAAAGCCCACGGCUCAACCGUGGAGGGUCAUUGGAAACUGGAAAACUUGAGUGCAGAAGAGGAAAGUGGAAUUCCAUGUGUAGCGGUGAAAUGCGCAGAGAUAUGGAGGAACACCAGUGGCGAAGGCGACUUUCUGGUCUGUAACUGACGCUGAUGUGCGAAAGCGUGGGGAUCAAACAGGAUUAGAUACCCUGGUAGUCCACGCCGUAAACGAUGAGUGCUAA
rnacentral:rRNA from 1 species